UCUUCUUCUUCUUCUUCUUCAGAACAAGAACUCUCAUCCAUGGGUGAUGGUGAAGAAAGAAUGCUUCAAGCUCCAGUACUAGCCUCUGCGCCACAACAGGAAGGUAGGCAUAACGCAAAGCAUGAAGAUCAAUGGCUGAUCGUGGAAGGUGAUGAUGAUAAUAUCUUCAACGCAUCUUCACUUGAUAAUUCAAGUACUUCUAAUGGAUCAACUUGUUCGUCAGAUAUGGUAGAUGAUGCAUCUUCACCGACCUCUACCUUACACUCUUCUUCAAAUUCUAACAAUGGUCCUUUGUUUGAAUUUUCUGAACUCAUGGCCCAUUUACCCAUCAAGAGAGGAUUAUCCAAAUAUUAUCAAGGCAAGUCUCAGUCUUUUACAUCUCUAUCAAGGGUAACAAGCAUUGAAGACCUUCCAAAGAAGGAAACUCCUUAUAUGAGGAAGAUCAAAGCAUCUAAGAGCUAUGGGAAUGGAUUGGAUGCCCACAAACCAUACACUCUUCCAAAAGCUAUCAUAUCAAAGAAGGUCUCAAGAGGUUUGUCUUCUUUAUCUUUUCCGGCAAGAAGAGGCAGUCUUCUAAAUAGCAGCAGGCCUCCUCCAGCUCCAGUACAAAAGAAGUUUUAGUGAGUGUAGUAGUAGUAGUUUUCUAGUUGCUUUACUUGAUGUAGAUACAAGCAAUGAACAAAAAAUUUUUGAUUGUGGAUAAAAAAUCAUAAUAAAGGAUAUGAGAGCCAACCCAUGUCAUUUUGCAGACAAUACAGCAAGUUUUUUCUCUCUUUUUUUCUCAAAAAAAAAAACAAAGGUACUGUAAACAGCUUUCCUUGAGUGGAGGGGGUAUGUCUUGUGUUCUUGAAGAAGAAGAAGAUCAUGGAAUAUUACAAUUUAGAGUAAUACACCAGUAGUGGGAUUGGGAUAGUGUAUGAACAAGAACAAAAGGAUAUCCAUGAACAUGAAGAGGAUAUCCGAGAUCCACGUUCUUGUUAUGACAUAACACCCACAAACUAAACCUCUUCUACAUCAGUAAAUAAUAUAUAUAACAACUUGUUCUCUUUUCUAUCAGAUCUCUUUUUGAUAAGAAGCUAUACUUUUUAAAGCUACAAUUAAAAGAAUUUAUCCUAAUCUUUCAUCAAUAAUCUACUAGCAAAUGGAAUCCACUUCAUGCCCAUUACUUAGCACUUGGUGUAGGCAUGAAUUAAUUAGUUAAGCAAACAACAUUUGACAAGGCAAUCUUUGUUACAAAAUAACUACAGGAACCCUAAUUAGUGGUUGGGAACACAUGACCAAGAAAGAAAAUAUAGAUAAUGUCAAAAAGGAAGAAUGGAAGAUCAAGAUCAAGUAAUAAUUAGUUCAAUUCCUACAAGGAUGAGUUCCUACAUUAACAUUAAUAAAUUAACCAAGUCUAUAGUUAAAGAAACAAGACUAAUUCUAAGAUAGUUAUGAGUAGAAGGAGCUGCAAAAUGAAACAACAGAGAAAAGCUGUUUCAUAUGAAGCAGGCUCAGUAGAAAUAAUCAGGGAGAUGCAAUUGGACGAUUGCGAAUCCUGCUUGAUCGUCUCAGAGGAGUUGUUACCAGUACUUUAUUGACUUCUCCAUCUCCUCCCUCCUCUUUCUUCACAAUUUUCUUCUCAUCAGUGUAUGAAGGCAAAUUAAUUUUUGAGAUCUGUGAUAAAGCUGGCUGCACACGAACAGGAAGUGAAUUAGCCUUGCUGCCUAUACCUUUCUCCAUGGACACGGAAUAACUGCUCACUUCACUCUCUAUCAUUCUGCUUUUCACGCCACAGCUCCUGAGAGAGCUGCUCAUCUCUCCCACCACAAGCUCACCAAGCAACUCAAUUGUUGGCGCUCGGCUUUCAUAUGUUUGUUUGGAAUCUUCUUCCAGUGAAUUAAUCAGAGACAUGGAGUUGGCAAAUGAAACAGGAUGUUCAAUGUGCUUAUCCAUGUCUUCUUCAUUAGCAAGCAGUGAGCAGCAUUUCUCUGCUAUCACAGAGUCCAAACAAGGCUCAACAACUGGAUGAGAGUCCUUGCUUGCAUUUCUGUUCUUUCUAAAGUGAAGAACCAAUACCAGAAAUGCUACAAUCGAAGAAAAGACAGAAAACCCAAUGACAGCUUUCAGAAUUGAUUCAGUUUCCAAGUGUUUGAUAAGCCCCUCAUUUGGAGUAAGAACUUCAUGGACAUCAUAAUCAUCAGUGAUAUUCCCAAUUCCACCCAUUUCCCUAUCAAAGAUUUCUUCUUUAAUUGGCUCAUGCACCAUCUCAUUUUCCUUCUCAAGAGUAUUAGGAACACUUGAUUCAUUUGUUAGGGGCAUUUGAAUCACUUCAACAGCUUCCGGUCCCUGCAACUCAGAAUUUGCAGCGACCUGAUCAGAAACCUCCCCUGUUUUUGCCAUUUCAAGAUCACUAGCGUCUGCACUUUCUUCAGCUUGUACCUUGAAAACCUCGUCAACUAUUUCCUUCUCUCCAUGUUCCACAAUCUGCACAGCCUCACUUUCUUCUCCUUCACUUAGUUCAUCUACUACUCCUUCCUUUUCGUCUUCAACCAUCUCUAGAACUCUGCCUUCUCCACUACUUAUCUCUACCAGUUCAUUCAACCUAUCACUGUGUUCUGCUUCUCCUAUUUUUACAUCUUCAAUCAUCUCUUCUUCCUCAAUUCCAUCUAUAUCAACAAAACUCGUUUGCUUUCCUUCUCUGCCAACCAAGAAGUAUUUUCCACUCUCAAGACUCUUCACAAAUUCAUAUACAUGAUCUUGUAUCAUGUGAUACCCAUCCUUGAGACCCGUAACAGCUUGUACAACAGGUGGAGGUGUAGAAGAGUUCAUAUCAGAAAUAUAUAAAGUAGAAAAAACUAAAACAGACAACAAAAGCAAAAAUUUAAGUAUUCCUCCAAAACCCCAGCAUCUUUCCUCGUAUACCUCCUCAAGUUCAUCUUCACUUUCACCAAUCUCUUCGCCCUCUUCCUUCACAUUAGUUUCAUUAAAACCAGCAGCCAAAGAACCACAGGAACUAGCCAAAUUACCUUCACUAUCAAUGCCUUUCUGGGUCUCCAAAGAACCAUUUCUAAUAAUAGUUAGCCCAUCUUUGCCUUCUUUCUCCUGAUUUUCUCUUCUAAGAAAUAAUUCCUGGCGCCUGUUAACCUUAUAGCGAAGAAAUUUAGGCCUUGGGGAGAGAUAAUUAGUUAAUGGGUCAUAAGGCUUUGAUGAAAGAUCAUCAACAAGGGCAUUUUGCUCAUUCUCAUCAAAUUCAGUGCUAGAAGUGGUUUUUGAAUCAAGACUAGUGGACUUCUGGAUGGUUUUUGAAUCAAGAAUUGAGGCAUUUUGGAGAGAAUUAUGCAGAGACUCAUUCCUUUCAGCUAAGAUUUUCUUUCUUGGAGGAUUGGCUUUUGAAACUGCAGAUAUUGUCGGUGACAUAUAGUGCUUUGUAGUUGUUGUUGCUGAUGGUUUCUUUGAGUUUUGCACAUUUAGUCCCAUUUCUUGAUAGCUAUGCUCAUUCUCAUCUGCACCUUUCGAGAUAGAAGGGAGCUUAUUUGGAGUCGAUGAUGAGGAAACGUUCAUAUCAGAACCAUCCAUUCCCAAGAAUUCUCUUUCUCGGCUUCGAUGGAAGUAACUAGCUCUGAACGAAAUAAGGAUAUAUUUUUCCUCCUCUCUCUUUUGGAGGGAGAGAAGACUGUGGAUGUUAUGAUCACAGAAAGUGAAUUUGAU
rnacentral:misc_RNA from 1 species